AAGAGUUUUGGNCAUGGCUCAGGACGAACGCUGGCGGCGUGCUUAACACAUGCAAGUCGAACGGUAAGGCCUUCGGGUACACGAGUGGCGAACGGGUGAGUAACACGUGGGUGAUCUGCCCUGCACUUUGGGAUAAGCCUGGGAAACUGGGUCUAAUACCGAAUAGGACCACGCGCUUCAUGGUGUGUGGUGGAAAGCUUUUGCGGUGUGGGAUGGGCCCGCGGCCUAUCAGCUUGUUGGUGGGGUAAUGGCCUACCAAGGCGACGACGGGUAGCCGGCCUGAGAGGGUGUCCGGCCACACUGGGACUGAGAUACGGCCCAGACUCCUACGGGAGGCAGCAGUGGGGAAUAUUGCACAAUGGGCGCAAGCCUGAUGCAGCGACGCCGCGUGAGGGAUGACGGCCUUCGGGUUGUAAACCUCUUUCAGUAGGGACGAAGCGUAAGUGACGGUACCUAUAGAAGAAGCACCGGCCAACUACGUGCCAGCAGCCGCGGUAAUACGUAGGGUGCGAGCGUUGUCCGGAAUUACUGGGCGUAAAGAGCUCGUAGGUGGUUUGUCGCGUUGUUCGUGAAAACUCACAGCUUAACUGUGGGCGUGCGGGCGAUACGGGCAGACUGGAGUACUGCAGGGGAGACUGGAAUUCCUGGUGUAGCGGUGGAAUGCGCAGAUAUCAGGAGGAACACCGGUGGCGAAGGCGGGUCUCUGGGCAGUAACUGACGC
rnacentral:rRNA from 1 species